rnacentral:rRNA from 1 species
GUGCCAGCAGCCGCGGUAAUACGGAGGGAGCUAGCGUUGUUCGGAAUCACUGGGCGUAAAGCGCACGUAGGCGGCUUGAUAAGUCAGGGGUGAAAUCCCGGGGCUCAACCCCGGAACUGCCUUUGAAACUAUCGAGCUGGAAUCUUGGAGAGGCGAGUGGAAUUCCGAGUGUAGAGGUGAAAUUCGUAGAUAUUCGGAAGAACACCAGUGGCGAAGGCGACUCGCUGGACAAGUAUUGACGCUGAGGUGCGAAAGCGUGGGGAGCAAACAGGAUUAGAUACCCCUGUAGUCC